CAAAAUUUCACCUCUUGUCGUUGGAAAAAGAGGAAGACUUGGAAAAGGUAACGGUAAAAGUCUCGAGCAAAAGCACACCUUAAUUGCUUCACCUUAUUUCUGUUGUUAGAUCUUCUAUCCUUGGAGAGGUGUAGUCGUCGUCAACAUUAGAGUUGCAUUAUUGAAAGAAUGGUAGGAAGAGGUAAACAUUGCCAUGGAUUGAUCUCCGAUGAUGAUGACCAUGACAUGAGGUUAUUGCUUAACUUUAAUCUCAUUUGGUCAUCAGCAUCGAAAAAGCGAUGGAGGUAAUAGAUGGCUUAGUUGCUGAAACAGGGUUUGAUGCUUCAAAAUCUAAGAAAUCUUCAAAAAAAUCUGCUUUUAAAAAUAAUAGGAGUUCAGCACUGAUAAAAGGAAAAGAACCUGUCAGGAAGACUCAAAGCACUACAAUUGCUGCAACAUUGAGCAAUUUGUUCAAUGUUCCUUCUGAUAAUGACGAUGUUGUUAUUAUACCUGUAAAGGACGAACAAUUGAAAGCGCAGAUGAUGAAAAAAGUGGAAGAGCUGAAAACGGUGAUGUCAAGAAAAAGAGGUUUGUAAAGAACAAAUGUUUGGUAAGGAGGAGGGUAUUUCAUGAAGGGAAAGAUAAAGAUGUUGGGGUAUCAAGGGUGAGAAAAGCUUCAAAGAAGGAAGGAAAGCGGCCAAUUAUUAAGAAAGGAAAGACAUCGGAUGAAAUUACGGAAGAGAUAUCAAAUGGGGCCAAGAAAUUCACUUGGAGGACUCGUAUAAACAACUGCUCAAGGACUGCAAAAAAUGUUAUGCAUUUUCCAAGGUAUAUAGCUAAGAGAUGCCUUAGAGCAUAUCAAGAUGAAAUCAAAGUCGUUGAUGUGGAGACCAAAAAGGUGUUUACAUGUAGCGUCCAUAAGGCGAUCAGAAAAAAAUACCAAAGACCUGCGAAAGGUACAUGGCAAUAGGGUGGUAUGAAUUUGCUCAGAGUAAAAGACUCCGUAAGGGUGAUACAUUGGUUUGGAGCAUGUUGCGUUUUUCUCCAUAUGUCAAUGCGAAGGUGGAAAGGCGUUGAAGAAAUUUUUAUCAGUUUUUGUUAUGUUAUAGUAUGACUUUAUUAUGAUGAUUUACUUUGAUGAAAAAGUUUAAUGUUGUUUAUGAAAUUUUGGAUGCUUUCAGUUAGUAGAAAAAUGUUUGAAGCUUUGAAAUUAUAAUGAAUUUGAAGCUUGUCUGUA